AAUGAACGCUGGCGGCGUGCCUAAUACAUGCAAGUCGAGCGAACAGACGAGGAGCUUGCUCCUCUGACGUUAGCGGCGGACGGGUGAGUAACACGUGGAUAACCUACCUAUAAGACUGGGAUAACUUCGGGAAACCGGAGCUAAUACCGGAUAAUAUAUUGAACCGCAUGGUUCAAUAGUGAAAGACGGUUUUGCUGUCACUUAUAGAUGGAUCCGCGCCGCAUUAGCUAGUUGGUAAGGUAACGGCUUACCAAGGCGACGAUGCGUAGCCGACCUGAGAGGGUGAUCGGCCACACUGGAACUGAGACACGGUCCAGACUCCUACGGGAGGCAGCAGUAGGGAAUCUUCCGCAAUGGGCGAAAGCUUGACGGAGCAACGCCGCGUGAGUGAUGAAGGUCUUCGGAUCGUAAAACUCUGUUAUUAGGGAAGAACAAAUGUGUAAGUAACUAUGCACGUCUUGACGGUACCUAAUCAGAAAGCCACGGCUAACUACGUG
rnacentral:rRNA from 1 species